rnacentral:rRNA from 1 species
UACGUAGGCAGCAAGCGUUGUUCGGAGUUACUGGGCGUAAAGGGUGCGUAGGCGGCUUUUUAAGUCUGGUGUGAAAUCUCCCGGCUCAACUGGGAGGGUGCGCCGGAUACUGAGGGGCUAGAGUGUGGGAGAGGAAAGUGGAAUUCCUGGUGGUAGCGGUGAAAUGCGUAGAUAUCAGGAGGAACACCGGUGGUGUAAACGGCUUUCUGGACCAUAACUGACGCUGAGGCACGAAAGCGUGGGGAGCGAACAGG